rnacentral:rRNA from 1 species
CUCCGUGCCAGCAGCCGCGGUAAUACGGAGGGUGCGAGCGUUAAUCGGAAUUACUGGGCGUAAAAGCGCAUGCAGGCGGCCUGUUAAGUCAGAUGUGAAAGACCCGGGGCUUAACCUCGGAAUUGCAUUUGAAACUGGCAGGCUAGAGUCUUGUAGAGGGGGGUAGGAAUUUCAGGUGUAGCGGUGAAAUGCGUAGAGAUCUGAAGGAAUACCAGUGGCGAAGGCGGCCCCCUGGACAAAGACUGACGCUCAGAUGCGAAAGCGUGGGGAGCAAACAGGAUUAGAUACCCUGGUAG